AUUGAACGCUGGCGGCAGGCCUAACACAUGCAAGUCGAGCGGAUGAAGGGAGCUUGCUCCUGGAUUCAGCGGCGGACGGGUGAGUAAUGCCUAGGAAUCUGCCUGGUAGUGGGGGAUAACGUCCGGAAACGGGCGCUAAUACCGCAUACGUCCUGAGGGUGAAAGUGGGGGAUCUUCGGACCUCACGCUAUCAGAUGAGCCUAGGUCGGAUUAGCUAGUUGGUGGGGUAAAGGCCUACCAAGGCGACGAUCCGUAACUGGUCUGAGAGGAUGAUCAGUCACACUGGAACUGAGACACGGUCCAGACUCCUACGGGAGGCAGCAGUGGGGAAUAUUGGACAAUGGGCGAAAGCCUGACCCAGCCAUGCCGCGUGUGUGAAGAAGGUCUUCGGAUUGUAAAGCACUUUAAGUUGGGAGGAAGGGCAGUAUGUUAAUACCUUGCUGUUUUGACGGUACCAACAGAAUAAGCACCGGCUAACUUCGUG
rnacentral:rRNA from 1 species